rnacentral:rRNA from 1 species
UACGUAGGGUGCAAGCGUUGUCCGGAAUUAUUGGGCGUAAAGAGCUCGUAGGCGGUCUGUCACGUCGGCUGUGAAAACCCGAGGCUCAACCUCGGGCCUGCAGUCGAUACGGGCAAACUAGAGUACUGCAGGGGAGACUGGGAAUUCCUGGUGUAGCGGUGAAAUGCGCAGAUAUCAGGAAGAACACCCGUGGCGAAGGCGGCUCUCUGGGACGGUACUGGA